GUCCUACGGGGGGCAGCAGUGGGGAAUAUUGCACAAUGGGGGAAACCCUGAUGCAGCAACGCCGCGUGAGUGAAGAAGUAUUUCGGUAUGUAAAGCUCUAUCAGCAGGGAAGAAAAUGACGGUACCUGAGUAAGAAGCCCCGGCUAACUACGUGCCAGCAGCCGCGGUAAUACGUAGGGGGCAAGCGUUAUCCGGAUUUACUGGGUGUAAAGGGAGCGUAGACGGCGAUGCAAGUCUGAAGUGAAAGGCAGGGGCUUAACCCCUGAACUGCUUUGGAAACUGCCAUGCUAGAGUGCUGGAGAGGU
rnacentral:rRNA from 1 species